UACGGGGGGGGCAAGCGUUGUUCGGAAUUACUGGGCGUAAAGGGCUCGUAGGUGGCCAACUAAGUCAGACGUGAAAUCCCUCGGCUUAACCGGGGAACUGCGUCUGAUACUGGAUGGCUUGAGUUUGGGAGAGGAAUGCGGAAUUCCAGGUGUAGCGGUGAAAUGCGUAGAUAUCUGGAGGAACACCGGUGGCGAAGGCGGCAUUCUGGACCAAUACUGACGCUUAGGAGCGAAAGCCAGGGGAGCAAACGGG
rnacentral:rRNA from 1 species